AGAGUUUGAUCCUGGCUCAGGAUAAACGCUGGCGGCGUGCAUAACACAUGCAAGUCGAACGAUGAAACUUAGUUGAUUUCUUCGGAAUGAUUUUAAGUGGAUUAGUGGCGAACGGGUGAGUAACACGUGAGUAACCUGCCUUACACAAGGGGAUAGCCUUUGGAAACGAAGAAUAAUACCCUAUAAAGUCAAUUUAUCGCAUGAUAGAGUGACCAAAGAUUUAUCGGUGUAAGAUGGACUUGCGUCUGAUUAGCUAGUUGGUGAGAUAAAAGCUCACCAAGGCGACGAUCAGUAGCCGGCUUGAGAGAGUGUACGGCCACAUUGGGACUGAGACACGGCCCAAACUCCUACGGGAGGCAGCAGUGGGGAAUUUUGCACAAUGGGGGAAACCCUGAUGCAGCGACGCCGCGUGAUUUAGAAGGCCUUCGGGUUGUAAAAAUCUUUUUUAUGGGAUGAAAAUGACAGUACCAUAAGAAUAAGGUCCGGCUAAAUACGUGCCAGCAGCCGCGGUAAUACGUAUGGACCGAGCGUUGUCCGGAAUCAUUGGGCGUAAAGGGUACGUAGGCGGCCUAGUAAGUUAGAAGUGAAAUAAUAUAGCUCAACUAUAUAAAGCUUUUAAAACUGCUAGGCUUGAGAGAUGGAAGGGAAAGUGGAAUUCCUAGUGUAGCGGUGAAAUGCGCAGAUAUUAGGAAGAAUACCGGUGGCGAAGGCGACUUUCUGGUCAUCAUCUGACGCUGAGGUACGAAAGCGUGGGUAGCAAACAGGAUUAGAUACCCUGGUAGUCCACGCUGUAAACGAUGAGUGUUAGGUUCUUGGAAUAAUCUGGGAGCCGCAGCUAACGCAUUAAACACUCCGCCUGGGGAGUACGCACGCAAGUGUGAAACUCAAAGGAAUUGACGGGGACCCGCACAAGCAGCGGAGCAUGUGGUUUAAUUCGA
rnacentral:rRNA from 1 species